AUUACAGAAACCUAUAAUUCCUGCUGAUUUAUACCGUGAUUCUCAACUUAUUGGAUUGUCUGGAUACUCAAAAGAGGGCCUUCUUGUCUUUGCUAUUGGUGUUGGACUCAGUACAUUUGACAAAGCAUCUAAAACUGUGGUUUGAUAUGCAUUGUGGAAAGCAUUUUCUUCAUUGACGCCCUUCCCCUAAAUGCCAGAAACAUUUUCCAUGUCCGAAAGCUCAAAAGCUGAAGCAUGGGUGAAUCAUAUGAUUGGAUCAACUACAGAUGAAUCAGUAGAAGUUGAAUUUGAGGGCUGUCCUUCCAGUCCCAUUGAGGAUGCUGAUUAACUUAUUAUUUGCAGAACCGGGAUGGUGUGGCAGUGCAACUGGAGAGAAGGUUAGUAUGUUGCUUCCAACGUUUGUCGAACUGUUGUUGAAUUUCAAAAUGUUGGAGCUUGGUGCACUUCCAAAUGAUUGCAUUGGUAGUUGGCUCCUGCAGUAACAUCAACUCAGUAACUGUUUUCCAUAGAAGAAAGUUGUAUAAGACUUCCAGCAAUAGAAAAAUUCCUAGUAAGUAUUUAAAUGAGCUAAUAGCACAGCACAAUAGGUAAGAGGGAGAGAAUAGAAAACAAAAUGAUAUUAAACUCUCCUACUUCAUCAGGUCUUGUCCUAAAGCCUUGUAGAUAUGUGCUUGACAAGAAUUUCAAAAGAUUUUGUCGUUGCUAUAUAGGCAGCAACAAAAACUCUUUAAAGAUUUUUUAAAAUCAACUGGUACAUCUUAGAUUUGCAGCUGGUACAUCAGUUGGUCGUUUAUGAUUCUUUUUUUCUUUUUCUUUCUUUUUUUUU